UUCAAGUUACUUAGUUUUCUAACCAACUCUUGUCUAGAGGGAAAAAACUACUCCUUGCUAUUUGUUGAUUUCUUUUUCUUUUUGCUUUUAAUUUGAAACUUUUUUUAAAUGUUUCUUUGUUUGUUUUCAAGACGGAGUUUCGCUCUUGUUGCCCAAGCUGGAGUGUAGAUGCGCUAUCUUGGCUCACUGCAACCUCAGGCUUCUGAGUUUAAGCGAUUCUCCUGCCUCAGCCUCCCGAGUAGCUGGGAUUAUAGGCAUUCGCCACCACGCCUGGGUAAGUUUUCUAUUUUUAGUGGAGACAGGGUUUCACUGUGUUGGCCGGGCUGGUCUCAAACUCCUGACCUCAGGUGAUCUGCCUGCCUCAGCCUCCCAAAGUGCCGGGAUUACAGGUGUGAGCCACUGUGCCCAGCCUUUCCUGUGACUUUUAAACUGAGACUUGAAAGCUGAGCAGCACUUACUAGCUGCGUAGGAUGUGGCAAGAGGUCUACAGAGAGAAAGAAUCUUCCAAGUGAAGCCCCUGCGGUUGAAAAAAUCAAAAAGAAAUGAUAAGGCAGCAAUUUAUGAAAAAGCUGGAUGUACAGUGAAGGACCUUGCCAGGACCUUAUGGAGCAGGUUAAGGAUCUGGGAUGUGGGACUUUAUUCUAAGGACAAUGAAUAGCCGUGGAAGAAAUUUCAGCAUGGAAGCAUUUGAAAGGAGUCCUCACUCAGCUGCAGUGGAGUGUGGUUUGGAUAGGGGGCGGGAUGCAGGAAGAUCGGCUAGCAGCUGUUUGAGCAGAAGAUGAUGGCAUUUUGGAGCAGAGAGGAGAUGGUGGCGUUGGAGAACAAUGGACACUUAAAGGCUGUAUACAGAGUCUACGCACUUCAGAGGACGUCUCUUCUGCUCCACAUCAGCAAGUCUUACAGACUCUGUUGCCAAAAUUCGUCUGGACUCGCACUACUUCUCCUCCUUUUGUGUCACUGCCAUCAGAGUUCAAAAUAAAUUUUAUCGUUGUUUGAUUUCCCACCAGAAUGCAGGCGUUACCGGAGCAGUGACUAGAGCACAUCUGUGCUGUGCACUAAUGCAAUUCCCACUGCCUAGCACAGAACAGGAAUUCAGAAACACUUGCCCAGUGGGUGAAUGAGUGGUUGGUAGAUGGGUCUCCUGUGAGUGUGCUUAGCAUGAAUAAAUC